UUGGCUUGUUGGCAUCUCCUAUGGGAU
rnacentral:piRNA from 1 species